rfam:Danio rerio chromosome 4, GRCz11 reference primary assembly.
GCUUGGCUAGCUCAGUCGGUAGAGCAUGAGACUCUUAAUCUCAGGAUUGUGGGUUCGAACCCCAUGUUGGGCG